AUACCAUGAUGAGGGCAAGCUCUAGUAUAGCCUUUCAUUCCUUUCCAUUCAUCAUAAAAGCUCUCUUCCUCACCUUGCUCAAAUCUAGCAAUCUCAUUCCUUAAUCU
rfam:Arabis alpina cultivar Pajares chromosome 6, whole genome shotgun sequence.